UACGUAGGGGGCAAGCGUUGUCCGGAUUUAUUGGGCGUAAAGCGCCCGCAGGUGGUUCGUCGCGUCGUGCGUGAAAGACCCCGGCUCAACUGGGGAGGGUCGUGCGAUACGGGCGGACUGGAGGCCAGUAGGGGGAUGCGGAAUUCCGGGUGUAGUGGUGGAAUGCGUAGAGAUCCGGAGGAACACCAGCGGCGAAGGCGGCAUCCUGGACUGGUCCUGACACUCAGGAGCGAAAGCGUGGGGAGCGAUCCGG
rnacentral:rRNA from 1 species